AAUUAUUUUUAAGCAACAUGAUCAUAUCAAAACAGAGAUUCCUUCAGAACAGAAAUUCCUUCAGAACAAAUUACAUAACAACGAAGAUUAUACCAGGCAGAGAUUACGAAUAAACAAAUUAAUUAUUUUUAAGCAACUUCAAGCAUAUCAGAACAGAGAUUCCAUCCGAACAGAGAUUUCUUCAGAACAGAUUCCUUCAGAACAAAAAUUCCUUUAAAACAGAGAUUUCACCAGACAGAUUACGAAUAAACAAAUAAAAAUGACAGGAUCAUCGUGGACUGUAGUCAAAUUUAAUGAGGAAAAUUUAGUAGAAGCUGUACCAACUUCAUGGAUUUUUAAUAAUAAAUGUUAUUGGCCAUCUUUUCAGCGUGAUUGCAGCUAAGUAUUCGAAGAAAUGAAGAGCCAAACACACAUUGGCCUUCAUAUAAAACUAUCCAUUUUCCAAAAUAGCACCUAUGAGAACUACAUGACAGCAAGAGAAAAAUGCAAAAAAGCUGAAGAUACAUCGGAUUUAACUCGGAAAUUUCAGCUAGCGAACAGAAAAAAAGAAAAAUUACAAAAAGACAGACUUUUUCUUCUUCAGAAGAAGAUGAGAAAUGCAAUUAUAAAUGCUUGCCAAAGUCUCCUGCCUUAACAGUUACCUUAUUCGGAUGUCCCAUGGACAUCCCAAUGUCCGGCGUCGGACGUCCAUGUGCUGUCUGAGACAUGAGUAAGAAUAGGAAAAUUUUUCAAUGAGGAUACAAAGAUAGUAUCACUUAGAUUUUGUAGAAAAAAAAUAAAGAUUUAAGGGGUACAUACACACA
rnacentral:lncRNA from 13 species